rnacentral:rRNA from 1 species
GGAGUUAGCCGGUGCUUCUUCUGCGAGUAACGUCACAGAUGUAAGGUAUUAACUUACACCCUUUCCUCCUCGCUGAAAGUGCUUUACAACCCGAAGGCCUUCUUCACACACGCGGCAUGGCUGCAUCAGGGUUUCCCCCAUUGUGCAAUAUUCCCCACUGCUGCCUCCCGUAGGAGUCUGGGCCGUGUCUCAGUCCCAGUGUGGCUGAUCAUCCUCUCAGACCAGCUAGGGAUCGUCGCCUAGGUGAGCCUUUACCUCACCUACUAGCUAAUCCCACCUGGGCUUAUCCAUCAGCGCAAGGCCCGAAGGUCCCCUGCUUUCCCCCGUAGGGCGUAUGCGGUAUUAGCAGUCGUUUCCAACUGUUAUCCCCCACAAAUGGGCAAAUUCCCAGGCAUUACUCACCCGUCCGCCGCUCGUCAUCUUCAAAAGCAAGCUUUUGAAAUGUUACCGCUCGACUUGCAUGUGUUAGGCCUGCCGCCAGCGUUCAAUCUGAGCCAUAGAUAACAACUCUAGACUAGACGGGCGGCGUGACGACGGCGACAUAG